CAUCCCACCCCCAGCCAAAGCCCCACCACGCGCACGCGCACGCGGCGAAGCCAGAGACCCGGGCUGGGCCGGCAAGCGCCCGCGCCUGCCGAGGGUCCCCUGCUCCCUCCAGGGGGCAGGGCACGAGGGGGGCGGGGCGAUCGCGAGGCCCCGCCUUGCCCUUGGCAGCGCUGGGCCAUGCGGAGGCCCACGUUCAAAAGAAGAGGCUGUUCUAAGAAAGACUACCGAGUAAUCAAUCACCUCCUCAGAGAAAGUCUGCUCAGAUGUCACUCCACAAGUCUCCAGGAGUCUCUGGGAUCUUCAUCCAUGGGCUAAAGGAGAGCUGCAGAAGAAUCCAACAUCCCAGCCUUCUGCAAUUAGGCAAGAGGUAUUUUUCCUGAGGACCACAUACCCUAAAAGAGCCUGUCUCAAAGACAAGGGACCAGCUCUGUGAACAUGGCAAGUAAUAACAGACAGAAAACGUGAGGGGAAGGGAGAGACCGGGAUUUUGAAAUUCUGUUUCCUGAAUGCCAUCUUACCAGGCACACGAAAGAAUAAAAUUAAGGAAUCAAGAGCCAA